rnacentral:rRNA from 1 species
AGUUUGAUCUGGCUCAGAACGAACGCUGGCGGCAGGCCUAACACAUGCAAGUCGAGCGGGGAGCAAUCCCUAGCGGCGGACGGGUUAGUAACGCGUGGGAACAUACCCUUUGGUACGGAAUAGCCUCGGGAAACUGAGAGUAAUACCGUAUGCGCCCUUUCGGGGGAAAGAUUUAUCGCCAAAGGAUUGGCCCGCGUUGGAUUAGGUAGUUGGUGGGGUAAUGGCCUACCAAGCCGACGAUCCAUAGCUGGUUUGAGAGGAUGAUCAGCAACACUGGGACUGAGACACGGCCCAGACUCCUACGGGAGGCAGCAGUGGGAAUCUUAGACAAUGGCGAAAGCCUGAUCUAGCCAUGCCGCGUGGACGAUGAAGGCCUUAGGGUUGUAAAGUCCUUUCAGAUGGGAAGAUAAUGACGGUACCAUCAGAAGAAGCCCCGGCUAACUCCGUG